rnacentral:rRNA from 1 species
UGGGGAAUUUUGGACAAUGGGCGCAAGCCUGAUCCAGCCAUGCCGCGUGCAGGAUGAAGGCCUUCGGGUUGUAAACUGCUUUUGUACGGAACGAAAAAGCUUCUCCUAAUACGCGAGGCCCAUGACGGUACCGUAAGAAUAAGCACCGGCUAACUACGUGCCAGCAGCCGCGGUAAUACGUAUGGUGCGAGCGUUAAUCGGAAUUGCUGGUCGUAACGCGUGCGCAGGCGGGUAUGUAAGACAGAUGUGAAAUCCCCGGGCUCAACCUGGGAACUGCGUUUGUGACUGCAUAACUAGAGUACGGCAGAGGGAGGUUGAAUUCCGCGUGUAGCAGUGAAAUGCGUAGAUAUGCGGAGGAACACCGAUGGCGAAGGCAAUCCCCUGGACCUGUACUGACGCUCAUGCACGAAAGCGUGGGGAGCAAACA